GAUCAUGGCUCAGGAUGAACGCUAGCUACAGGCUUAACACAUGCAAGUCGAGGGGCAGCAUGACCUAGCAAUAGGUUGAUGGCGACCGGCGCACGGGUGAGUAACACGUAUCCAACCUACCGGUUAUUCCGGGAUAGCCUCUCGAAAGAAAGAUUAAUACCGGAUAGUAUAACGAGAAGGCAUCUUCUUGUUAUUAAAGAAUUUCGAUAACCGAUGGGGAUGCGUUCCAUUAGUUUGUUGGCGGGGUAACGG
rnacentral:rRNA from 1 species